rnacentral:rRNA from 1 species
CCUACGGGAGGCAGCAGUGAGGAAUAUUGGUCAAUGGGCGGGAGCCUGAACCAGCCAAGUCGCGUGAGGGAAGACGGUCCUAUGGAUUGUAAACCUCUUUAGGCGGGGAGCAAUGCCGGGCACGCGUGCCCGGAGGGAGAGUACCCGCAGAAUAAGCAUCGGCUAACUCCGUGCCAGCAGCCGCGGUAAUACGGAGGAUGCGAGCGUUAUCCGGAUUUAGUGGGUUUAAAGGGUGCGUAGGCGGAUUUUUAAGUCAGCGGUAAAAUGUCCGGGCUCAACCCGGGCCGGCCGUUGAAACUGGGGAUCUUGAUUGGGAGAGAAGUAUGCGAAAUGCGGGGUGUAGCGGUGAAAGGCAUAGAUAUCACGCAGAACUCCGAUUGCGAAGGCAGCAUACCGGCGCCCGACUGACGCUGAGGCACGAAAGCGUGGGGAUCGAACAGGAUUAGAGACCCUAGUAGUC